AUGCACAGAUAGUAUUCAUUG
ensembl:piRNA 21ur-887 ncRNA